rnacentral:rRNA from 1 species
GACGAACGCUGGCGGCGUGCUUAACACAUGCCAGUCGAACGGAAAGGCCCUGCUUUUGUGGGGUGCUCGAGUGGCGAACGGGUGAGUAACACGUGAGUAACCUGCCCUUGACUUUGGGAUAACUUCAGGAAACUGGGGCUAAUACCGGAUAGGAGCUCCUGCUGCAUGGUGGGGGUUGGAAAGUUUCGGCGGUUGGGGAUGGACUCGCGGCUUAUCAGCUUGUUGGUGGGGUAGUGGCUUACCAAGGCAUUGACGGGUAGCCGGCCUGAGAGGGUGACCGGCCACAUUGGGACUGAGAUACGGCCCAGACUCCUACGGGAGGCGGCAGUGGGGAAUAUUGCACAAUGGGCGGAAGCCUGAUGCAGCAACGCCGCGUGCGGGAUGACGGCCUGCGGGUUGUAAACCGCUUUCGCCUGUGACGAAGCGUGAGUGACGGUAAUGGGUAAAGAAGCACCGGCUAACUACGUG